AACAAACGCUGGCGGCGUGUCUUAAGCAUGCAAGUUGAGCGGCAAGGAGGAGAGAUCCUCCCUAGAGCGGCGGACUGGUGAGUAACGCGUGGGUAAUCUAUCUUAGGCAUGGGGAUAGUCACUAGAAAUAGUGGGUAAUACCGAAUAAGUUCCAUAAGGGGAGGACUUAUGGAAGAAAGGUGCUACGGCACUGGCCUUAGGUGAGCUCGCGUCCCAUUAGCUAGUUGGUGAGGUAAAGGCCCACCAAGGCGAUGAUGGGUAGCCGGCCUGAGAGGGUGUACGGCCACACUGGGACUGAGAUACGGCCCAGACUCCUACGGGAGGCAGCAGCUAAGAAUAUUCCGCAAUGGACGGAAGUCUGACGGAGCGACGCCGCGUGGAUGAAGAAGGCCGAAAGGUUGUAAAGUUCUUUUGCUAGGGGAGAAUAAGUGUGGGAGGGAAUGCCUGCACGAUGACAAGGACUAGCGAAUAAGUCCCGGCCAACUACGUGCCAGCAGCCGCGGUAAA
rnacentral:rRNA from 1 species